rnacentral:lncRNA from 1 species
UAACCAGAUGCUCCGCAGGGUGCAGCUUUAUACGACCGCAGAGGUUGAACCCUGAACGGUUGGGGCAAGUAUGGACACAACAUUCAAGCUGGAUUCAGCUCUAAAUUUGGAUUGUGAUUAAAUAGUUGACACAGCAUAGGUUUCUGACACAGAAUGAAUGUGGUCUAAUGAACUUAAAAUGUUUGUUUUGCCUUUGAGCAAUUCACUAUGCUGUUGAAUAUUAAUCCUCUCAAAAAAAAUUUUGAAGAAAUAGCAAUAACUACUCAUUUAAAUACAUCAUAAAAUAUUAAAAUGUAAAAAAAGUGCUUGUUAUCACUGAAUGGUAAAGAUUGUUU